rnacentral:rRNA from 1 species
GAUGAACGCUGGCGGCGUGCUUAACACAUGCAAGUCGAACGGUGAAGCAGGAGCUUGCUCUUGUGGAUCAGUGGCGAACGGGUGAGUAACACGUGAGCAACCUGCCCCUGACUCUGGGAUAAGCGCUGGGAACGGCGUCUAACACUGGAUAUGUGAUGUGACCGCAUGGUCUGCAUCUGGAAAGAAUUUCGGUUGGGGAUGGGCUCGCGGCCUAUCAGCUUGGUGGUGAGGUAAUGGCUCACCAAGGCGUCGACGGGUAGCCGGCCUGGGCGGGUGAGCCGCCAACCUGGGAGUGAGACACGGCCAAGACUCCUACGGGAGGCAGCAGUGGGGAAUAUUGCACAAUGGGCGGAAGCCUGAUGCAGCAACGCCGCGUGAGGGAUGACGGCCUUCGGGUUGUAAACCUCUUUUAGCAGGGAAGAAGCGAAAGUGACGGUACCUGCAGAAAAAGCACCGGCUAACUACGUGCCAGCCGCCGCGGUAA